AGAGUUUGAUCCUGGCUCAGGAUGAACGCUGGCGGCGUGGAUAAGGCAUGCAAGUCGAACGAAUUUCUUUGAAUUGAGAUUGCGAUUACAUCAAGGUUGAUUUUCUCUAGAAAUUAGUGGCAGACGAGGUAGUAAUACAUAGGUACUUCCCCCGAAGUCGUGAAUAAUCCGUCGAAAGACGGACUAAUACACGAUGGUCUCGCAAGAGUAAAGUUUUAACGCUUCGGGAAAGGCCUGUGCAGUAUCAGCUUGUUGGUAGGGUAACGGCCUACCAAGGCUAUGACGCUUAGGGGCGCUGAGAGGCGGACCCCCACCGAUGGGACUGAGACACGGCCCAUACACCUACGGGUGGCUGCAGUCGAGAAUCUUCCACAAUGGACGAAAGUCUGAUGGAGCGACGCCGCGUGAUCGAUGAAGUCCCUAUGGGACGUAAAGAUCUUUAGCCAGGGAAGAAGUUUAUUGACUGUACCUGGAGAAUAAGAGGCUCCCAAUCUCGUGCCAGCAGGAGCGGUAAUACGAGAGCCUCGAGCGUUAUCCGGAAUUAUUGGGCGUAAAGGGUGCGUAGGUUGUUCUGUUAGUCUUUUGUCAAAACCCGGGGCUUAACCUCGGAUCUGCAAAAGAAACGGCAGAACUAGAAAGUGCGAGAGGUGUACGGAACUCAUGGUGUAGGGGUGAAAUCCGUUGAUAUCAUGGGGAACACCAAAGGCGAAGGCAGUACACUGGCGCAUAUUUGACACUGAAGCACGAAAGCGUGGGUAGCGAAUGGGAUUAGAUACCCCCGUAGUCC
rnacentral:rRNA from 1 species